rnacentral:rRNA from 1 species
CCCCCAGUAACGGCGAGUGAAGAGGGAAGAGCCCAGCGUCGAACCCGCGAGGUCAACUCGUCGGGCAUGUGGCGUGUGGAUCCUCUCGCGCUUUUCCAAGCGGCCAACCGCACGUCCUAAUGAUUCAGGCCUUUCCCACAGAGGGUGUCAGGCCCGUACCUGGUUGGCUCGUUUGGGAGCAGUGAGGUAUCUAAGAGUCGGGUUGUUUGGGAAUGCAGCCCUAAGCGGGAGGUAAACUUCUCCUAAGGCUAAAUACCAUGGCGAGACCGAUAGCGAACAAGUACCGUGAGGGAAAGUUGAAAAGCACUCUGAAGAGAGAGUUCAAUAGUACGUGAAACUGUUGAGAGGUAAACGGUGAAGGCGUCUCUUCCUCUCGCUCAGAUUCAGCCGCGCUCCGGGCGUCCGCUGGGGUUGGCAGACCUGCUUUAGGCUGCCGCUUCGGCGGUGUCGUUUGGAAAACGGUGCACUUCUGGGCGAGACUAGUCACGGCCGAUUGGUCGGGAGCGUGGUGCUCCUCGGGUUGGAGGUUGCGCACUUUGUGAACAGCCAAUACCCGGGGCGGCAUGGCCUCUUGGUCGAUCGUGGUAGUGGAGCAGCAGCUACAGGCGGCUCGUGCGCUCUCGUCCUUCUCUCGAGGUGUCGUAUCUCUCACGAGAAAUGCGGUGCCGAACGGAGUUCGAUAGGGGGUACGCUCGUUUGUUGCUUCCCGCCCGUGGCGUGGGUGCCCUUUACUGACCCGUCUUGAAACACGGACCAAGGAGUCUAACAUGUGUGCGAGUCUUGAGGGUUCGGAACACCCGCAGGCGCAAUGAAGGUGAAGCUAGUUUCGGCUGGUGAGGCGGGAAGGGGGCAACUCCUGCACCGCCGUCCCGUCCAAUGCAUCCUCGUAUGUCGGGCGGAGACUGAGCAUACACGUUGGGACCCGAAAGAUGGUGAACUAUGCCUGAACAGGAUGAAGCCAGGGGAAACUCUGGUGGAGGUCCGUAGCGAUUCUGACGUGCAAAUCGAUCGUCUGAUUUGGGUAUACGGGCGA